rnacentral:rRNA from 1 species
GACGAACGCUGGCGGCGUGCUUAACACAUGCAAGUCGAACGGAAAGGCCCUGCUUUUGUGGGGUGCUCGAGUGGCGAACGGGUGAGUAACACGUGAGUAACCUGCCCUUGACUUUGGGAUAACUUCAGGAAACUGGGGCUAAUACCGGAUAGGAGCUCCUGCUGCAUGGUGGGGGUUGGAAAGUUUCGGCGGUUGGGGAUGGACUUGCGGCUUAUCAGCUUGUUGGUGGGGUAGUGGCUUACCAAGGCUUUGACGGGUAGCCGGCCUGAGAGGGUGACCGGCCACAUUGGGACUGAGAUACGGCCCAGACUCCUACGGGAGGCAGCAGUGGGGAAUAUUACACAAUGGGCGGAAGCCUGAUGCAGCAACGCCGCGUGCGGGAUGACGGCCUUCGGGUUGUAAACCGCUUUCGCCUGUGACGAAGCGUGAGUGACGGUAAUGGGUAAAGAAGCACCGGCUAACUACGUG